rnacentral:lncRNA from 1 species
GUUGGCCGUUCCUCGCAGGGUCUUUAUUUUUUCCUCCUUUUGCGGAGGGGCUAUUGUGUCCGGGGAGUUGGCCUUUCUGGACUUGACACAGCUAGCUCAGAGCAAAGCCAAGAUGGGAAAGAGGCCAGUGUCUUUUUCCACUAUGCCUUUCCAAACUUGAGUCUUUGCUGGCCUUAGCUUCUGUGGUCUGCCUUUUCCCUCAGGAGGUGAGUAGGUUUUGAAGGCUUGGAAAUGAUGAGCUGUGCGGCCAGCACAGCUGUGCAGCAGGAGGAAUCCAGUUCCCCCAGCCCUCCCUCCCUCCAUGUGUGGCUCUUUUUGGGCUGUUGAGUUUGUCUCUCUCGGAAGCUGUUUCCGAGCUGGCAUUUGCCUGUCCUGCGAGUUGG